rnacentral:lncRNA from 1 species
GACGGUUUGAGGUCAUAAACUAACAAUUAGCAUUCAACAACAUAAACUAAUGAAAACAUCUAGGAAGAUAUAGAACCCUAAAUCGAUUUAAAAUUAAAGAUUACACUGAUUAAUCUCUUCCAUAUUAUCUGAAGAUGAUUAAAUUAUGAGAAAUAACUGUUAUUCUAACGUAAGAUCAAAUAAUUCCACUGAAUUUGAUUGUAAUUAGGGUUGUCAAUUACUUCAUCAACUGCCAAAAACGAACCACGCACAUGAACAAUAUUGGCUUAUGCGAGUCAUUAGACUCAUUACACAAACGUUGGUCCCGAAAAUGAAAUAUGGUUGUGAUUUCUACAACCACCACAACAGUGUUAGAAAGCUCAAAACCAGCUAGCCAGUUUCUAUCAUACUUCAAUCUGUUUUUCUUCUCCAAGGAGUGGUCGACGAUGAUCGAUCUUCCUAAAGCUAGGGACGAUAUACAAUCCAAUGACCAACCUACCCUUUUUCGACCAAAACAUCCUUAUCAAAA